rnacentral:rRNA from 1 species
UACGAAGGGGGCGAGCGUUGUUCGGAUUUACUGGGCGUAAAGGGCGCGUAGGCGGCGCCGCAAGUCGCGUGUGAAAGCCCCGGGCUCAACCUGGGAGGUGCGCGCGAGACUGUGGUGCUGGAGUUCGGGAGAGGAGCGUGGAAUUCCCAGUGUAGAGGUGAAAUGCGUAGAUAUUGGGAGGAACACCAGUGGCGAAGGCGGCUCACUGGACCGGUACUGACGCUGAGGCGCGAAAGCGUGGGGAGCAAACGGGG